rnacentral:rRNA from 1 species
UCGAGGAUCUUCGGCAAUGGGCGCAAGCCUGACCGAGCGACGCCGCGUGCGGGAUGAAGGCCUUCGGGUUGUAAACCGCUGUCAGUGGGGAGGAAAUGCCGGUGGGUACUCUCAUCGGUUUGACUUAUCCGCAGAGGAAGUGUGGGCUAAGCUCGUGCCAGCAGCCGCGGUAAGACGAGCCACACAAACGUUAUUCGGAAUUACUGGGCUUAAAGGGUGCGUAGGCGGCGCGGAAAGUUGGGUGUGAAAGCCCUCGGCUCAACCGAGGAAUGGCGCCCAAAACUACCGUGCUGGAGGAAGACAGAGGUGAGCGGAACUCAGGGUGGAGCGGUGAAAUGCGUUGAUAUCCUGAGGAACACCGGUGGCGAAAGCGGCUCACUGGGUCUUUUCUGACGCUGAUGCACGAAAGCUAGGGUAGCGAACGG